rnacentral:rRNA from 1 species
UACGUAGGGUGCAAGCGUUGUCCGGAAUUAUUGGGCGUAAAGAGCUCGUAGGCGGUCUGUUGCGUCGGCUGUGAAAACCCGGGGCUCAACCCCGGGCCUGCAGCCGAUACGGGCAGACUAGAGUUCGGCAGGGGAGACUGGAAUUCCUGGUGUAGCGGUGAAAUGCGCAGAUAUCAGGAGGAACACCGGUGGCGAAGGCGGGUCUCUGGGCCACUACUGACGCUGAGAAGCGAAAGCAUGGGGGAGCGAACAGG